rnacentral:lncRNA from 1 species
ACACAGGCAGCGACAUCGACAGCUGAUGUGAAGUUUGAGCUUGAGGUUAUGUUAUUCUAUUGUCUGCAUUAAUCCGUGAUUUCUGCUGAGUUGUGAAAGGUUGGUUCUUUAGUGUUGGUUGUGGAAUAGGGUUCUUUUAUAACUUAUAAAACUUAUAACACGUUUUAGUGGUGUAUGUUUGAGCGUGGAGUGUUAGUUACACCAUUAGUAAACUUAUGGAUUAUUUCUUCGAUCAGCUUUGUAGCUUAUAUGUUGUAGUAAAACACUCACAGUGUUACGAAUAUUUGUUACAUAUAUUUUGUGGGUUGUAUUAGUACAAGAUACAACACUUUCAUCAAAGAUUUAUUAGAAUUUUGAGAUGCCUUUCUGUAUUGAGAGAGAAACAGAUAGAUGCUAUGUAAUCAUUCAGCUUCCUGAUAGUGUUCAACUUGUACUGAAACUCUUAAUUUUGUGAUAUCUGUCUUCCACCUAUGCGAAUAAUCUGACUAUAAAAAAACAAUAACUGAUUACAAGACUACAGAUAAGGACAACUGGAGAAACACUAUUAUAGGAGUUCUUGGUCAUGCUGAAUCAUCCAGUGGUAGCAGCUGUAUCUACCAUGUUUAAAAUAUCCCCUCCCAGACACAUUGGAAAUUUGGUGGCAGUGGUGGGAUAGCAUAACGUUGGGACAUGCUGAAAUUCCAUUGAUCAUAAGAACAGUGAAAUGAUUCAGAAGGUGAAAUUAAGUGUUUUAACAGCAAGAAAUAUUGUUUUCAAGUUAGUUGUCAUAAAAUAUGGGAAGAAAAAGUGCUACAAGAAGAUGAUUAAACUGGAUGAAGAAAUCUAGACACCAAGACGCCAAGUUGAGAAAGGACACCAAGAGACGAUGCCACCUUGUAAUCUCCGUCUUCACCUUCAUGUAAUCAGCCUGGUAAAAGACGGGGGCAUGGAGUGAUGAGCUUUGAGCAAAGAACAGAGUGAAGUUGUCAACAUCUGUCCACAGCCUCUAGCAACUAUGGCAGUCGCGAUGGUGGUGAUAUUUGUGAGCCUUUGUUUUGGCAAACCCCAUGAGAAAGUAAAUCUGAACCCACAUAAAAUAAGGUUUGGACAGGUGAAGAAAAAACGUAAAGUUGCACACACAUCUGAGCAGAAUAACAACUAUAAACAACUAGUUGAUGAAGCCAUUGGGAGUGUCAAUGGGUCAAACAUAAUUGGCACAAUCUCAAUGAUAGAGAAAAGAGUCAACCAAGGACCAAUCUCUCUGACUGAUGUACUUGUACAUGGCAUCACAGGAGCCACAAUGCACGUCUAUGGACAAGCAAACCAAUAAAGCUAGGAGACACAGAACUCAUGUGUGCGUUACAAACUUCACAAACUUGUAUUCGGAGGGGUGUGAAAAAUUCAUUGAAAGUUCUCAAACGUCUACAAGAUGCCUUCAGAAGAAAACAACCAGUAUCAGCACGAUUGAUGACUCUGGAACAACAUCCUUAUUAGCUUGACCUGACAACAGCAAAUUUUCAUUUUUUUAUUAAGGAACCUUCGACUUCUCCAAGGGAAGGUGAAUUGCAGGACUGUGAUGGGAGGGUUUUGUAAGCCUUUGCAACCAAACUGUAAGCACCUGUUGAACCAGCUAGUGGUGGAUUCACUGCAGAGAGCGAUACCUGGCAAACUCACGGCACACUCUCCAGCAACCCAUAACACUUACACAUCUGAAAAAUAUUCUGGAAAGAAUAAAGAAGAAUGAAUCAAUGGAAGUUGAAUCUAGGGUACAGAUAGAAGUAAGAAGACAUACAGUAGUUAAAAAGAACUCAGAUGGCAGUAAAGAAGCUGAGAAAUCGGGAAUCUUCGACUUCACCAUCGGAUGGUACAUCUCAGAACUGUCGUGGAAGGGUUUUGCAAGACUGGAACAAAGUUGAUGAGUGUGAAAUCCAACUCAACACUACCAGGAAGCUCCUGGUACCAAUUUUUGGGUACUAAUUACUUUGCCUGCGGCCAGCAACAGCACGUAUGCUAACAUUAUUUAUCAGUCAGUCGAUUUUGGUUGAUUAACUACAUAAUUUGACACUUGAAAUAUGAAAGUGAAAUUCUUACAGAAAAUACUAACCUUUCCUUUGGGAUAUUUGAUUUUAUGUUUGAUUCAUUAAUACCAUCUUUUGGAAACUUCAUAUUCUCAGUUUGAUUUUUAAUAAUUUUUCAUGAGAAUCUCUCAAUUGUGUAGUUGUAAAAGUGUAUUUGUUUUAUCAGUACUGUUUUCUACAUCACCAGUUUAAAUCUUAUUUUCUUGCAAUGGCUUAGUACUAAUAUCUAUGUCAGAAGAAACAACUGAUAUUAGUGUUAUAUUUUUAACAUUUUUUUACAUUCCUCUUUAAUAGUUUUACAGUGUUUUCAGAGUUUUAUAUUGAUAAAUUCCCUUAUCUACUUUUUAUUGUAACUCACAACUGCUCUAAUCUUAUUAUCACAUUUUUCUUUCAAUUUAUCUUCAUGAAUUUUUAUUUUUCCAUCAGAUGUGUCCUUUUCUAGUUUCAAUUCUGAACCACUCUUGUCUUCUAUUCUAUUCUCACUACUUAUUUUUGGGUCCUCUUCAAGAGUUUCCAUACAUUUUUCAGAUAAUUUAUCCACAUAGCCAAUAAUUUCUUUAUUCAAUUCUAACUUACCAUGGUUUCCAGAAAUAUUUACAAAAUCUUUUUCUACUUCAUCUGCCUGAAAUUCUAAGGGGUUUGCAGAUUUCAUAUCUUCAUGAAUGUCUUUCUUUCUUAUUUUACAUUCUUACUCACAACUACUGUCAUCCAUUUUAUUUUCACUCCCUCCAGAACUAAAUUAAUCUUCAGGUAAGUUGUCUGUCACGUCACUGGUCUUUUCAAUCUACUCUUCAUUAGCAGUUUCAUCUCCCGUUUAAUUAGUUUUAACAAUUGGUUCAAUAUCAGUGUUAGUAUUUUUUGUAAGAAUUUCACUUUUAUCUCCUUCGACGAUUUUAGGAUUUUCUUGCUAAAAAGAAUCUUUAUUUUCUUUGUGGUUUAUCUGUAGUACUUCAUCUUCAAUGUCACAUGUUUCAGCUGUGCUGGAAAUUAAGACAAUGUAUAAAUGUGACAAAAAACAUUCUUAAUCAUAGAUAUUUAUAGAUUGGAUGAUGCAUAGGAAUUCCUGUUAUUCUAUAAUAAAAUUAUAAUGCAUUUAGUAUUCAGUGGUGUAAUGAGGUAAUGACCAGGGUAUCCAUUAUUCUUUAUAAGUUAUUAAUUAUCUGUUAGUUUUUUAUUUAUAUGGAACUCUUCAAAAUUAUUAUUGUAUAUAAAUUUAUUUGUGGACUAUAUUUGGAAUUUAGUUUUUGUUGAUAUUCUUGUUUUAAUGAUAUAUUUAUGUUAUUAUUCAUUAUUAAGAAUAUUAAUAUUUAAAAUACCAUGUAGAAGGUAAGCUCUUAAAAUAAUAGAACAUAGACUGUGUUUUCCCCCUCAACUAGCUACUAGCUUGAGGUGACAGUAGCAAUACUGACAAGCAUAUUGAUUAAAUAAAAAAUAUUAUUAUCUUACAAGACGAGACUUUAAGAUAUUUUUCUUUUUCAUUUGAUGGAUGAGUUUAGGACCAUUUGUGUCUCACUUACUAAUUAAUGUUAAUCACACCAAACUGUAGCUUCUGCAAAAACUUAAUAUAUGUGUUGUUUCCUGUUCUCUGUUCAUAGUAGAAUAUAUACAUUUAAAUUAUAAUACGUGUAAUAUAUAUAUAUAUAUAUAUAUAUA